rnacentral:rRNA from 1 species
AUGGCGAGGCAUCGCCUCCUUGCCGUGCUCAUGCUCCUCGUCGGGGUAGUGGCAGCCUCCACUUUCCACCAAGCGGCCGCCGCUGGCCGGGGCCUUGCUGCCGUCGAGAAGUUUGCGGACCUGGAGCCAAAGCCAAAACCUAAACAAGAGGCAAUGCCCAAACCAAUGCCGAAGCCUGAACCCAAGCCGAUGCCAAAGCCCGAGCCCAAGCCCAAGCCCAAGCCGAUGCCUAAACCUGAACCCAAGCCAGAGCCCAAGCCCAAGCCGAUGCCCAAACCUGAACCCAAGCCAGAGCCCAAGCAUAAACCAAUGCCUAAGCCAGAGCCUAAGCCGGAACCUAUGCCUAAGCCGGAGCCCAAGCCUAAACCUGACCCGAAACUAGAGCCACCACCAAAGCACAAGCCGCCAACAGCUUACAAUUGA